UAAGGAAUAUUGGACAAUGGGCGAAAGCCUGAUCCAGCCAUGCCGCGUGAAUGAAGAAGGCCUUAGGGUUGUAAAGUUCUUUUAGGGGUGACGAUAAUGACGGUAGCCCCAGAAAAAGCUCCGGCUAACUCCGUGCCAGCAGCCGCGGUAAUACGGAGGGAGCGAGCGUUGUUCGGAAUUACUGGGCGUAAAGCGUGCGCAGGCGGUCUUAUAAGUCAGAAGUGAAAGCCCUGGGCUCAACCCAGGAAUUGCUUUUGAAACUGCAAGACUAGAGUAUCGGAGAGGUUGGCGGAAUUCCCAGUGUAGAGGUGAAAUUCGUAGAUAUUGGGAGGAACACCAGUGGCGUAAGCGGCCAACUAGACGAUUACUGACGCUCAGGCACGAAAGCGUGGGGAUCAAA
rnacentral:rRNA from 1 species